AGAAUCUGUUUUCAACAACAACAUGUUAGAAGUACUAAUGUUACAGUAAUGCCAAUUAUGUGAAUCAGACAGGAUUGACCAUAGGUGCCGUACUUCCUUUCCCGAAACAAUAAAUAACUUUUUUGAACUGAGUAAGCGAAUUGUUUCAGUGACAUUUAACAUAUGUUAAUGUUUGACAGGCUUUUCCGUCAUGAUGGCAUUGCCAAAAUUAUUUAUAGAAACAAGGUUAAUUAGUAUCGAAUUCCAGAAAGAUUAGGAACACGGAUCACCAACUAAAUGAUGAUACAAGGGAAGGUGCCAGUGGGACACAGUCCCAAAUGCAAUCUUUGAAUAAAAGUGACACCUAACAUCCACGUAUUCCAACAUCAGUCUGAAUUCCGAUAGCAAAAAAUCUUAUUCGGAAGACUCCGUAUACAUACUAUAAGUACUUUAUUGUAAUUAAAUUACAAAAUAUUGAUCACAUGAUGCUAGUAUUACUAGACUUUCAAUUGCUUUUAAUCAAUCCGACAUUAAU
rnacentral:lncRNA from 1 species